rnacentral:rRNA from 1 species
AGAACGAACGCUGGCGGCAGGCCUCAAACAUGCAAGUCUAGGGGGUGUAGCAAUACAUCACCGGCGGACGGGUGCGUAACGCGUGGGAAUAUACCUAUCGAUUCGGAACAACUGAGGGAAACUUCAGCUAAUACCGAAUACGUCCUAACGGAGAAAGAUUUAUCGUCGAUAGAUUAGCCCGCGUUCGAUUAGCUAGUUGGUGGGGUAACGGCCCACCAAGGCGACGAUCGAUAGCUGUUCUGAGAGGAAGAUCAGCCACACUGGGACUGAGACACGGCCCAGACUCCUACGGGAGGCAGCAGUUGGGAAUCUUGGACAAUGGGGGAAACCCUGAUCCAGCCAUGCCGCGUGAGUGAUGAAGGCCUUCGGGUUGUAAAACUCUUUCGCGCACGACGAUAAUGACGGUAGUGCGAGAAGAAGCUCCGGCUAACUUCGUGCCAGCAGCCGC